rnacentral:rRNA from 1 species
AUUGAACGCUGGCGGCAGGCCUAACACAUGCAAGUCGAGCGGAUGAAGGGAGCUUGCUCCUGGAUUCAGCGGCGGACGGGUGAGUAAUGCCUAGGAAUCUGCCUGGUAGUGGGGGAUAACGUCCGGAAACGGGCGCUAAUACCGCAUACGUCCUGAGGGAGAAAGUGGGGGAUCUUCGGACCUCACGCUAUCAGAUGAGCCUAGGUCGGAUUAGCUAGUUGGUGGGGUAAUGGCCUACCAAGGCGACGAUCCGUAACUGGUCUGAGAGGAUGAUCAGUCACACUGGAACUGAGACACGGUCCAGACUCCUACGGGAGGCAGCAGUGGGGAAUAUUGGACAAUGGGCGAAAGCCUGAUCCAGCCGUGCCGCGUGUGUGAAGAAGGUCUUCGGAUUGUAAAGCACUUUAAGUUGGGAGGAAGGGCAGUAAGUUAAUACCUUGCUGUUUUGACGUUACCAACAGAAUAAGCACCGGCUAACUUCGUG